ensembl:lncRNA
GGAGCUUUCCCCCGCGCGCGCGCUAACACACAUAAUUUUCACGGGCUAUAGCGCCGCUCAGUGGAUUUAUCUUAUUCCUCUAUGUUCAGUUAUAUAGUUUAUUGGGACCUUGGAGAACAAACAGAAACGUCCUGUCCUUUGCCCGGUUCUUUUCUUGGUUGAAUGUCCGCAUUUGUAAUUGUCAUUAUGUCUAGUAACUAUAAUGACCCGCGCAACUGUCAUUACGCGUGAUGUUUACGCCAAACGCGGUCCACGCGGUGUUUACUGACGUGUACUCACCAACACUGCUGGAUGCAAGAAUUAUUGUUGAAAAAUGAGUGUGUAACGCGUGACCCCUCAUUUCCCACCUCGCUGACACCCUCUUUUCUGCAUCUGAGCCUCAUCUUGCAGGAGAGGCAAUCCAAGCUUUUGCUAACUGCAGAUAUCGAAGAGGAAUCUUAAACGGGAGAAAUUCUAGUUAAAAAGAGCAAGAUGGAGAACUAUUGAUCCCUUAUCCCAAAGGUGUCCACCGUAUGCAGAUGUCCCAAAGGUGCACCAGAGAAGGGUAAAUUAAGCCCUUAAAUGUGCAAUUGGCAAUAAUAAGCUAUCAUUACUCAAAUUACAGCAAGCACUGAUUGGGUUUAAAGUAAUGAAGAAAACAACAUGAUCAAUCAUCAUCAGGUCUUGAGACUGUCAGGGUGGUGGCCGAGCACUGCAUCCACAUUGUUGGAGCAGAGCUCCAUCUUCAGGUGCCAGACUGGAGCAGAUAAAAGAGCCCUCCAGCACACAAACACAUGUGAACAUCCUUUAUGAGAUUACAUUCGAACCUCAGAUGCUGCCCAACACACAGAGAUUAUAUCAUAUAUGGCAGACGUCCACCUUUGUCAUCUCACUGAGGCAAGUUUGUUCUCUUCCGUUAUUGUCAUCAGUGCGUACUUGCCCUCCGUAAGUGGAUGUAUCCAAAUGACAAUGCAUCAAACUUUAAUCACUCUUAAAAGUAUAAUUCACCCAAAAAUGAAAACUCUGUCUGCUUUUGCUCAAACCGAGUGUUUUUUUUUAAAAAUGCGAUGGAAGUCAAAGGUCACCAAAACUGUUUGGUUACCAACACAUAAUUAUAAUAGUUCAUUAUCUCUAUCGCCCACCAUUUAUUUUAAAGGCUCUCUCUCGUCAUUGUUGCCUGAUGAUUGAAUUGCUUUCGAAAAGGAUAUAUUAAAUUGUAGCUUUUUAUAAUCCAAGUUUUAGCAAAUGGCUAUACUGCAAAAGAUCUUGCACCACCUAUCAUUUUAAUACUCCAUCACACUUAUGUCAAUCUGGCUGCUGACAAAAUGAUUUCUUAAAUAAGUAGUCUUAGGAAAGAGAAAGUCAUUUAUGCCACAGUUCACCAGCCGAUAACUUCAAAAAGAUAAGGGAGUUAUAUAAUGGAGUGAAUUUAAGUCAUAUUAAGAGGAAUAUGCAGAUGAUGGCCAGCCAAAUACGUGUGGUGAUUAAAUGAUUUUAUGAGAUGAAUAAUGUAGAGUUGAGUCUUUCUUUGUGUGGUUUAGAGAGCUUUAGAGAGGUAGUUAGAUUUUUGUAUGCAUGAUUUUUAAUGCAUCAUGUGAUUCGAGAGAAUUGUGCAUCCUAACUUUUUAGACCGAGAGAAAUCAGUCUGGUUCAUCAAAAUCUGCACAUGGACUUCUUGAACAUUUCGCCUCUACACUCUUUUUACAUUCUGGAACAAAGUUUUCUCACAGAUCCAUUGGUGGCCCGGCAUUAGUGUGCAUGAAGGCUUCUGAAGUUGCCAUCAUCAAUAAUGAGGUCUCAU